UGAGGAAUAUUGGUCAAUGGGCGAGAGCCUGAACCAGCCAAGUAGCGUGCAGGAAGACGGCCCUAUGGGUUGUAAACUGCUUUUAUAAGGGAAUAAAGUGAGUCUCGUGAGACUUUUUGCAUGUACCUUAUGAAUAAGGACCGGCUAAUUCCGUGCCAGCAGCCGCGGUAAUACGGAAGGUCCGGGCGUUAUCCGGAUUUAUUGGGUUUAAAGGGAGCGUAGGCCGGAGAUUAAGCGUGUUGUGAAAUGUAGACGCUCAACGUCUGCACUGCAGCGCGAACUGGUUUCCUUGAGUACGCACAAAGUGGGCGGAAUUCGUGGUGUAGCGGUGAAAUGCUUAGAUAUCACGAAGAACUCCGAUUGCGAAGGCAGCUCACUGGAGCGCAACUGACGCUGAAGCUCGAAAGUGCGGGUAUCGAACAGG
rnacentral:rRNA from 1 species